AUUGAACGCUGGCGGCAGGCCUAACACAGGCAUGUCGAGCGGAGCGGCGGACGGGUGAGUAAUGCCUAGUAAUCCGCCUGGUAGUGGGGGAUAACGUCCGGACACGGGCGCUAAUACCGCAUACUAUCAGGUGAGCCUAGGUCGGAUUAGCUAGUUGGUGGGGUAACGGCCUACCAAGGCGACGAUCCGUAACUGGUCGGAGAUGGUGAUCAGGCACACUGGAACUGAGACACGGGCCAGACUCCUACGGGAGGCAGUAGUGGGGAAGAUGGGACGAUGGGCGAAAGCCUGAGCCAGGCAGGCCGCGUGUGUGAAGAAGGUCUUCGGAUUGUAAAGCACGUUAAGUUGGGAGGCGUUACCAACAGAAUAAGCACCGGCUAACUUCGUGCUAGCAGCCGCGGUAAUAC
rnacentral:rRNA from 1 species